AUUUCUUCACAGGUCAGAGUUCAACAAACUGGGUAUUUUUAUGAUGCCUAUGAUCCCAAAAGCAUCUCAUGAAGCUGAAGACUAAAUAUGAGUCCAGUGAAGAGUUCAGAGGAAGCUGAGAGAGCAUUAGGAGUCAAGACCACAAUGAGAUCACUUUUACCAAAACACUCCAAAGACUGAAGCAAAGCAAGACAGAAAAGAGUGGUGCUGCUGGCUGCCUCCUAAAGUUACAGCCUCUUAUAUAACCAUGCAUGAACACAGAAAAGUUUUCAGCUGUGUCUUUGUUUGGUGUUUGUGUUGAUGUUGCCAUGGUGAUACUCGCUUGAAACAAAAACAGAUGACGAAAAAUAAAAAGACAAGCGCAGAUUGUAAGACACAUCUGUAAACAUUCA